GCGGGUGUAGCUCAGUGGUAGAGCAAGGAGAUACCUACUCAAAUUAGAGGAGGGUGACUCUUGGUCGAGGGUUCGAGUCCCUCCAUCCGCU
rnacentral:tRNA from 1 species